rnacentral:rRNA from 1 species
CCUACGGGAGGCAGCAGUGAGGAAUAUUGGUCAAUGGGCGGAAGCCUGAACCAGCCAAGUAGCGUGCAGGAUGACGGCCCUACGGGUUGUAAACUGCUUUUAUACGGGAAUAACGCGCCUUACGUGUAGGGCUUUGCAUGUACCGUAUGAAUAAGGACCGGCUCAUUCCGUGGCAGCAGCCGCGGUAAUACGGAAGGUCCGGGGGUUAUCCGGAUUUAUUGGGUUUAAAGGGAGCGUAGGCCGCAUGUCAAGCGUGCUGUGAGAUGUCCGGGCUCAACCCGGGCCUUGCAGCGCGAACUGGCGUGCUUGAGUCCGCGGAAAGCAGGCGGAAUUCGUGGUGUAGCGGUGAAAUGCUUAGAUAUGACGAAGAACCCCGAUUGCGAAGGCAGCUUGCUGCAGCGGAACUGACGCUGAUGCUCGAAAGCGCGGGUAUCGAACAGGAUUAGAUACCCCUGUC